rnacentral:lncRNA from 1 species
AAUUAUAUCAUUGGACUUGACUACUCCAUUUCUUUCCACAUUUAAAAAUCGCACUCUCUUACCAAGUGAGUGGUUGGACCAAGACAGUGUCUCGAGAUUGAAACAGAACACGAUGGAGCUGGAAGUUAUAGUUCAGAGAUCAUCAGGAAUCAGAGUCAAAUCAUUAACUAGUGAUUAUGUGCCACACAAGAAAUCCUCUCUGGGUUAGAAAUCUUAAAAUAAGAAGCUGUUAUAUACAUUUGUCGAGAUAAAAUUAUUGAUUGGUAUUUAUAAGACUUUGAUUUCAUAAACUUAAUAGACUACAUAUGUAACUUAGGAUAUAAUUUCAAAAAUCUAGCCACAGCACAUUUGUGUGUUUCAACAAAGUAAUGGCUUUUUUGGUAUUAGAAUAAAUACAGUUACCUUGUGAGAAAUUGAUUGAUCUAACUACUUGUGAACAGGAGAAAGAAACGUUGUUAAUUAGAGGCCAUCUGAUGCAAGUGUGAUCUGGCCAGAAUUUUGUUUAACAUGUGGAAUGCUUAUAAAUUAUCUGAGUUUGCACAUUAACCUUUAUUGCGGAGUCUCCCAGCAUACUCAUUAGAUCAGCCAAAUGAGGUACACAAGCAAACUC